UCAAAUCGCUACAAAUGUUCAUUUUUUAGCGAAUAAAAAAAUUAAAUCACCAAAAUUUGUGAUUAAAAUUUUGUUCAGGGUCCUUUUUUUUUGUAAUGAGAAUAUGGAAUCGAUUCGACUCAAAUAACCUGUGAACCUAUGGUAUUUGAAUCUAAAUUCGGAUAAAUUUCUAUGGAAAAUCCAAAUUCAGAUAACUUUUAAAAAAAAAUCUUUAUAUAGGUCUAGAUAAUUGGAAUAAUUGGAAUGGACAUGUAUAUAGAUCUAGAUAAAUCUCAUACAGUUUUAACAUAGUACGUUCGUUCAGGGGAGAGAACCCACACUGUCAUAAAUGAUAAUAUUGCAUGUGCGAGAACAAAGAUGACAACAUUAAACAAUUAUUGAUAUCGAUGUGGCGCCAUGGCGGUGUCUAUUACCUUCGACCAAUUUCUUUUUCCGACAGCGAUGUCGGCGGCGUCGAUCGACGUUAUCGAUUCAAGAAACACAUGUUGGAUAUACUCUAAUACGAAGCUUUUUAAAUGAAUUUGGAUUGCCCUUUAAUUUAUUAUGACAUUACUCGAAAAUAGAAAAUUUAU
rnacentral:lncRNA from 1 species